UACGAAGGGGGCUAGCGUUGUUCGGAAUUACUGGGCGUAAAGCGCACGUAGGCGGGUCGUUAAGUCAGGGGUGAAAUCCCAGAGCUCAACUCUGGAACUGCCUUUGAUACUGGCGGCCUAGAGUUCGGAAGAGGUUAGUGGAAUUCCCAGUGUAGAGGUGAAAUUCGUAGAUAUUGGGAAGAACACCAGUGGCGAAGGCGGCUAACUGGUCCGAUACUGACGCUGAGGUGCGAAAGCGUGGGGAGCAAACAGG
rnacentral:rRNA from 1 species